UCUACUGGUUAUAGUAAACACACUGGAUCAUCAUCCAGACCUCUACUGGUUAUAGAUAACACACUGGAUCAUCAUCCAGACCUCUACUGGUUAUAGAUAACACACUGGAUCAUCAUCCAGACCUCUACUGGUUAUAGUAAACACACUGGAUCAUCAUCCAGACCUCUACUGGUUAUAGUAAACACACUGGAUCAUCAUCCAGACCUCUACUGGUUAUAGUAAACACACUGGAUCAUCAUCCAGACCUCUACUGGUUAUAGUAAACACACUGGAUCAUCAUCCAGACCUCUACUGGUUAUAGUAAACAGACUGGAUCAUCAUCCAGACCUCUACUGGUUAUAGUAAACAGACUGGAUCAUCAUCCAGACCUCUACUGGUUAUAGUAAACAGACUGGAUCAUCAUCCAGACCUCUACUGGUUAUAGUAAACAGACUGGAUCAUCAUCCAGACCUCUACUGGUUAUAGUAAACAGACUGUCUCUUUGUCUCUCUGUGUCCGUCUCUCUGUCUCUUUGUGUCUCUCUGUAUCUGUGUCUCUCUGUAUCUGUGUCUCUCUGUGUCCGUCUCUCUGUCUCUGUGUGUGAUUAGCUCUGCCUGAUGGCAAUGUUAAAGGUGUUAAUAUCCUUUCCUGUCUCAGGUCCUAAUCUGAAGACGUUAUGCAAGCUUGCUGUUAUUAACUACAGUCUGGACCAGCAGGGACUACCACACGACAUCAGGUGGGAGCUGAACGCCAUGACGACCAACAGUAACAUCAGUAGACCCAUCUUCUCCUCUCACGGCUAAUCUGGACUGGUACCCUCCCCAGUACCAGAACACCAGGGCUGAACUGACCCAGAGAUACCACCAGUAUCUGAACACCAGGGCUGAACUGACCCAGAGCUACCACAGUACCAGAACACCAGGGCUGAACUGACCCAGAGAUACCACAGUAUCUGAACACCAGGGCUGAACUGACCCAGAGAUACCACAGUACCAGAACACCAGGGCUGAACUGACCCAGAGAUACCACAGUAUCUGAACACCAGGGCUGAACUGACCCAGAGAUACCACAGUAUCUGAACACCAGGGCUGAACUGACCCAGAGAUACCACAGUACCAGAACACCAGGGCUGAACUGACCCAGACAUACCACAGUAUCUGAACUCUACAGUCUGGACUGAUUCCACCAGAACCCUACUGUCUGGACUGAUUCCACCAGAACCCUACUGUCUCUUGAUGUUGGCUAAGUGAAAUCAUUGACCUCCCAGUUCACCAGAUCUUCUCUAUUUUAGCCCCUGGACACUGACAGGAGGGGUUCUAUUGGUGCUGAAUGCUGUUUUAGUAUCUGGGUUUGUGUUGCUCUAAUACUCACAACUCAAUGAGAAUCACUUUGAUUGUUAACUAGUGUUACAAUGAGCAGAACAUAUUCUCCCUGAUUGUUUUACCAGUAUUAUAAUGAGCAGAACAUAUUCUCCCUGAUUGUUUUACCAGUAUUAUAAUGAGCAGAACAUAUUCUCCCUGAUUGUUUUACCAGUAUUAUAAUGAGCAGAACAUAUUCUCCCUGAUUGUUUUACCAGUAUUAAAAUGAGCAGAACAUAUUCUCCCUGAUUGUUUUACCAGUAUUAAAAUGAGCAGAACAUAUUCUCCCUGAUUGUUUUACCAGUAUUAUAAUGAGCAGAACAUAUUCUCCCUGAUUGUUUUACCAGUAUUAUAAUGAGCAGAACAUA